rnacentral:rRNA from 1 species
AGUUUGAUCCUGGCUCAGGAUGAACGCUAGCGGCGUGCCUAACACAUGCAAGUCGAACGUGAAGGGGUACUUGUAUCCCUGAAAGUGGCGGACGGGUGAGUAAGACGUAGGUGACCUGCCUCGAAGUGGGGGAUAACCACUGGAAACGGUGGCUAAUACCGCAUAAGUUGGUUGAGAUGGGAAUCUCAAUCAGGAAAGCUUAAGUGCUUUGAGAGGGGCCUACGGCCGAUUAGCUAGUUGGUGAGGUAAAGGCUCACCAAGGCGAUGAUCGGUAGCUGGUCUGAGAGGACGAUCAGCCACACGGGAACUGAGACACGGUCCCGACUCCUACGGGGGGCAGCAGUGGGGAAUAUUCGGCAAUGGGGGCAACCCUGACCGAGCAACGCCGCGUGGAGGAUGACGGUUUUUGGAUUGUAAACUCCUUUUCUCAGGGAAGAGUGAGGACGGUACCUGAGGAAUAAGUCACGGCUAACUACGUGCCAGCAGCCGCGGUAAUACGUAGGUGGCAAGCGUUAUCCGGAAUUACUGGGCGUAAAGCGCACGCAGGUGGUUUUCUAAGAUUGACGUGAAAGCUUCUGGCUUAACUGGAAGAAGUCGUUGAUGACUGGGAGACUUGAGGUGAGGAGAGGGGUGUAGAAUUCCCGGUGUAGUGGUGGAAUGCGUAGAUAUCGGGGGGAAUACCAGUGGCGAAAGCGACACCCUGGCCUUGGCCUGACGCUCAGGUGCGAAAGCGUGGGGAGCGAACGGGAUUAGAUACCCGGUAGUCCACGCCAUAAACGAUGAACACUAGGUGUAGGUGGUGUCAAAACCAUCGGUACCGAAGCCAACCCGAUAAGUGUUCCGCCUGGGGAGUACGACCGCAAGGUUAAAACUCAAAGGA